AUUAAAGUGGCAGAUUAUGCAAAGGAUUUAAGCUCCUUCUAUGAAGCCUUUUCCUUUAAUA
rnacentral:tRNA from 1 species